AAAAGACACGCACAUUCUCCUGGGCUUCAAAGUUGUCCCAUCCUUCUGUGAUGUCAUAAUCUGAGCCAUAGCCCACAAAUGUGAACUCCAACAACCCCCAAACCCAGUCCUCACCUCCCACAUGCUUUUCAUCACCCGCUCUCACAUCCCAUCUGGGGCCUCUGCUUCCAUCCUACCAUUUCGCAAGCCUGGCCAACUCAAGCUCCGUGUGCUGCACCUAGAGCAGCCCAUCUCUGUGUCAGGGAGGUGAGCUGCUCAGUUGCCAGAGUAUCAACCUGAGCCCAGGACACUGCCAGACUGCUGAGUCAAAGAGGGUUUAGCAGCCCAUUUUCAUAGACAGACAGGUGAGAGGAGGAUGCUGGACAUGGUCCCAGAGACAUGGGGACUCAAGAAACAUGAAGAUCUGUUCACAGCUAAGGGCACAUUUCCAUGCCGAGAAAUCAGGCGUGAGCGCAAGAGUCCUAUCGUCUACCAGAAAAAGAAAUCUUUGGGAGCAUUCAAGGAGGAAUGGCUUCAUGAUGGCAAUGAGCGGCAUCGCCUGAAAGACAGCCUUCGAGAGUCUCCCAGAGCCGCUGAGGAGCAAGGCAGAGAACUGCAAUCCAAGCAAAUGUGGUGGGUGUGAAGCUUUCAAGAAGUUGGGUCAAGAACAAGGACUGAAAGAGGAGCAUCAAUUUAUGGGGGCCACUGAGGCUUUCAGAGAUUUUGUGACCUACCAAACUGGCACAGCUAGUAAAUGGAUGACAAGCCAUUAACAUGGAAAGAAGAAGAGGCAUCCAAAGUGUUGGGUCCGCAUCGCCCUUGCCUUGGAGGAAGCUCCAAAUAGAGGGAAGGAUGGUUUCCAGCAGUCCCUGAAGUGCCUUUCCUCCUUCGUGGGAUCCAGUUACACCCAGCAGACUUCAGUUUGAAUAAACAGAACUAGAUGAAUACACCUAGGGAAUCUGUGAGGCCAGCCUCAGCUUUUAACAUCCAGCUACAGGGAGAGGUGUACAGUGACUUGCCCAAAGUCAAACAGCUUGUAAACUGCAGACCCAGGAGCCAAACCACAGCAAGCUCUUCCAUCCUACAGGAAGCAUUCUCUGCCUAAUUAAGAAGAGUUUGUGGCCUACACUUCAUGUUCCCAUAGCACCUGCCUACUCCAUGUGAGGAGGACAAGGAUGAAGACCUUUAUGGUGAUCCAUUUCCAUUUAAUGAAUUGCAGAGAAAAUGUCAAGUUCAUCAGCUGAAACGAAAACUCCCACUGUCCAGGCUAAGAGACCAGGGUCAGGGAUGGGAUCCCAAACUUUGAGGUGGAAGAUGGAGAAAGGGUGGGGGAGGAGGGGGGGAGGGAGGAGGAGGAAGGAGGAGAGGGAGGAGGAAGGAGGAGGAGGAAGAAGGAGGAAGAAGGAGGAGGAG
rnacentral:lncRNA from 1 species